GGGUCUGUAGCUCAGCGGAUGAGAGCAUCUGUUUCCGGUACAGAAGGUCGAGAGUUCGAAUCUCUUCAGGCCCACCA
rnacentral:tRNA from 1 species